GCAAACUUGGUCAUUUAGAGGAAGUAAAAGUCGUAACAAGGUUUCCGUAGGUGAACCUGCGGAAGGAUCAUUAUUGAAAUCCUCAGGAUGUUGCUGGCCCCCCCACACCUUUUUGUUGGUGGGGGGGCAAGUGCACUCCACCUUUUCCAUCUAACCUGUGAACUUGUUGUAGGCCAGAUCUCUAACAGAUCUGUGUCUAUGUUACCUUCACAUGCACAAAAGUCCAUCAGAAUGUCAUUUAAAUACAUAUAUAUGACCCUUUGAAAAAAAGUGGUCAAAAUUUUAAUACAACUUUCAACAAUGGAUCUCUUGGUUCUCGCAUCGAUGAAGAACGCAGC
rnacentral:misc_RNA from 1 species